rnacentral:rRNA from 1 species
UACCCGCGGCCCGAGUGGUGCUUGAUAUUAUUGAGCCUAAAACGUCCGUAGCCGGUUCUGUAAAUCCAUGGGUAAAUCGAACAGCUUAACUGUUCGAAGUCCGCGGACACUGCAGGACUCGGGACUGGGAGAGGUCAGAGGUACUUCUGGGGUAGGGGUAAAAUCCUGUAAUCCUGGGGGGACGACCGGUGGCGAAGGCGUCUCGCUAGAACGACUCCGACGGUGAGGGACGAAGGCUAGGGGAGCAAACCGG